rnacentral:rRNA from 1 species
AAAGUGUGAUAAGGGAAUCCUAAGUGCUCAGGCAUUGCCUGGGCUUUUGCCAUAUGUAAAUAGUAUGGCGAAUAAGUAGUGGGUAAGACUGGUGCCAGCCGCCGCGGUAACACCAGCGCUACGAGUGGCAAUCACGUUUAUUGGGCCUAAAGCGUCCGUAGCAGGUUUUAUAAAUUUCUUGUGAAACUGCCAGGCUUAACUUGGCAAUGUGCAGGAAACACUGUAAGAAUUGAGACAGGGAAGGGUCAGAGGUAUUCCUGAGGGAGCGGUAAAAUGCUAUAAUCUCAGGAGGACCACCGGUGGCGAAGGCGUCUGACUAGAACUGAUCUGACUGUGAGGGACGUAAGCUAGGGGAGCAAACCGGAUUAGAUACCCGAGUAGUCCUGGCUGUAAACGCUGUGAGCUAGGUGUCGCGUAUUCCACGGGAAUGCGCGGUGUCGUAAGGAAGCUACUAAGCUCACCGCCUGGGAAGUACGGUCGCAAGACUGAAACUUAAAGGAAUUGGCGGGGGAAAGGGCGAAUUCGUUUAAACCUGCAGGACUAGUCCCUUUAGUGAGGGUUAAUUCUGAGCUUGGCGUAAUCAUGGUCAU